ACUGCUCAGUAACACGUGGACAACCUACCCUGAAGAGGGGGAUAACCCCGGGAAACUGGGGAUAAUACCCCAUAGGCUAUGGAUGCUGGAAUGCUCUGUAGUUGAAAGGUCCGCCGCUUCAGGAUGGGUCUGCGGCCGAUUAGGUUGUUGUUGGGGUAACGGCCCAACAAGCCUGUAAUCGGUACGGGUUGUGGGAGCAAGAGCCCGGAGAUGGAUUCUGAGACACGAAUCCAGGCCCUACGGGGCGCAGCAGGCGCGAAAACUUUGCAAUGCGAGCAAUCGUGACAAGGGAACUCCGAGUGCCUGUAAAAUCAGGCUGUCCGCCAGUGUAAAUAACUGGCGAAGAAAGGGCCGGGCAAGACCGGUGCCAGCCGCCGCGGUAAUACCGGCGGCUCGAGUGGUGGCCACUAUUACUGGGCUUAAAGCGUUCGUAGCUGGCUUGUUAAGUCUCUGGGGAAAUCUUCCGGCUUAACCGGAAGGCGUCUCAGGGAUACUGGCAGGCUAGGGACCGGAAGAGGUGAGAGGUACUCCAGGGGUAGGAGUGAAAUCCUGUAAUCCUUGGGGGACCACCUGUGGCGAAGGCGUCUCACCAGAACGGCUCCGACAGUGAGGAACGAAAGCUGGGGGAGCAAACCGGAUUAGAUACCCGGGUAGUCCCAGCUGUAAACGAUGCGCGUUAGGUGUAUCGGUGACCACGAGUCACCGAGGUGCCGAAGAGAAAUCGUGAAACGUGCCGCCUGGAAGUACGGUCGCAAGGCUGAAACUUAAAGGAAUUGGCGGGGGAGCAC
rnacentral:rRNA from 1 species